rnacentral:rRNA from 1 species
UACGAGGGGAGCAAGCGUUGUUCGGAUUUACUGGGCGUAAAGGGCGCGUAGGCGGCGUGACUAGUCACUUGUGAAAUCUCCGGGCUUAACUCGGAACGGUCAAGUGAUACUGUCGUGCUAGAGUACAGAAGGGGCAACUGGAAUUCUCGGUGUAGCGGUGAAAUGCGUAGAUAUCGUAAGGAAGACCAGUGGCGAAGGCGGGUCUCUGGACAGUUCCUGACGCUGAGGCACGAAGGUCAGGGGAGCAAACGGG